AUUGAACGCUGGCGGCAGGCCUAACACAUGCAAGUCGAGCGGAGCGGCGGACGGGCGAGUAAUGCAUGGGAAUCUGCCUGGUCGUGGGGGCUAACGUCAGGAAACGGGCGCUAAUACCGCAUACUAUCAGAUGAGCCUAGGUCGGAAUAGCUAGUUGGUGGGGUAAAGGCCUACCAAGGCGACGAUCCGUAACUGGUCUGAGAGGAUGAUCAGUCACACUGUAACGGAGACAGGGUCCAGACUCCUACGGUAGGACGCAGUGGGGAAUAUUGGACAAUGGGCGAAAGCCUGAUCCAGCCAUGCCGCGUGUGUGAAGAAGGUCUUCGGAUUGUAAAGCACUUUAAGUUGGGAGGCGUUACCAACAGAAUAAGCACCGGCUAACUUCGUGCCAGCAGCCGCGGUAAUUC
rnacentral:rRNA from 1 species